GACCUGAGCCAGCAAUUGCCUUUCAAUU
rnacentral:piRNA from 1 species